CCUACGGGUGGCUGCAGUGGGGAAUAUUGGGCAAUGGGCGCAAGCCUGACCCAGCAACGCCGCGUGAAGGAAGAAGGCUUUCGGGUUGUAAACUUCUUUUGUCAGGGACGACGCAUGUGACGGUACCUGCCGAAUAAGCCACGGCUAACUACGUGCCAGCAGCCGCGGUAAUACGUAGGUGGCAAGCGUUAUCCGGAUUUACUGGGUGUAAAGGGCGUGUAGGCGGGACUGCAAGUCAGAUGUGAAAACCACGGGCUCAACCUGUGGCCUGCAUUUGAAACUGUAGUUCUUGAGUACUGGAGAGGCAGACGGAAUGCCUAGUGUAGCGGUGAAAUGCGUAGAUAUUAGGAGGAACACCAGUGGCGAAGGCGGUCUGCUGGACAGCAACUGACGCUGAGGCGCGAAAGCGUGGGGAGCAAACAGGAUUAGAUACCCCUGUAGUC
rnacentral:rRNA from 1 species